GCUCUUGUGGCUGGUAUAGCUUGGCUGGUACAGUAUGAGACUCUUAGUGUCAGGGUCGUGGGUUCAAGCCCCAAGUUGGGCA